rnacentral:tRNA from 1 species
AAAAAGGUAAGCUAAAUAUAAGCUUGUGGGUUCAUACCUCAUAUAUAGAUUUAAAAUCUCCUUUUUA